rnacentral:rRNA from 1 species
UACGGAGGGAGCUAGCGUUGUUCGGAAUUACUGGGCGUAAAGCGCACGUAGGUGGCUUUGUAAGUUAGAGGUGAAAGCCCGGGGCUCAACCCCGGAAUUGCCUUUAAGACUGCAUCGCUUGAAUCCGGGAGAGGUGAGUGGAAUUCCGAGUGUAGAGGUGAAAUUCGUAGAUAUUCGGAAGAACACCAGUGGCGAAGGCGGCUCACUGGACCGGUAUUGACGCUGAGGUGCGAAAGCGUGGGGAGCAAACAGG